rnacentral:rRNA from 1 species
UACGUAGGGGGCUAGCGUUGUCCGGAUUUAUUGGGCGUAAAGGGUGCGUAGGCGGCUGGAGUAAGUUGGGUGUGAAAUCCCGGGGCUCAACCUCGGAAUUGCAUUCAAUACUGCUUCGCUAGAGUACUGGAGAGGAGGCUGGAAUUUACGGUGUAGCAGUGAAAUGCGUAGAUAUCGUAAGGAAGGCCGGUGGCGAAAGCGAGCCUCUGGACAGGUUACUGACGCUGAUGCACGAAGGCCAGGGGAGCAAA